ACGCGCCCGCGCCCACGCCCACGCCCGUGCACUCCGGCUUCUUCCAGCUCCACCUCUAUGAAACCGCAGUAACCGCCCACGUUUUUUUGUUCUCAUUUUUUGUGCCAACCUCUACUGCGGUGUAAACCGUGUGAGCGUGUGUGCGAGCGAGUGGUAGGUUCAAGAAACCAGCCGCCCAUGGCGGCGAACAGGAAGAAGAAGGGGAAGAUAGUGUCUGACUCCGAGCCGCAUCUGAGCGGCGGAGUCGCCGCCGCCGACGGCCUGGACCUAUUCGGACUCCUCCCGGACUGCCUUAUCGUCUCCAUCCUCUCCCUCCUCCCCAUCGAAGACUCCGUCCGGACCAGCAUCCUCUCCACCCGGUGGCGCCAUCUCUGGACCCUCGCCCCCCUCCGUCUCCUCGACGACUCCGCCCUCCGCUCUGAGAGAAUGAAGCACAUCGCCCUCCGUACGGCCCACCAGGAGCAAUGGCGCGCCAUGGAGGGCUGGCGCGUCCAAGCCAUAGGCCGCGUCCUCUCCGCCCACGCCGGUCCUAUCCAGAUCUGCCGCCUUUCCUGCCUCUAUUUCCACGUCUCCCUUCUUGACGGCUGGAUCCAAACCCUAAUCCGGAAGGGCAUCCAAGAUCUCGCUCUCCUCAUCCCCAUGGAGAAGCGCUUCUACCUCGUGCCUCCUUUCCUUAUCACAUGCCAAUCCCUCCAGUCCUUGGAGCUAUGCUACUGCCGAUUCCCGAAACCCACUCACCCUCGCCCCUAUCUUGUUAAUCUCAGAGCUCUGAAGCUGAAGUGGAGUCUCGUGACGGAUGCCGCCGUCCAUGAGAUUCUCUCCAGCUGCCCGGCUUUGCAGAGUUUGGCUUUGGUGCACUGCGCUGGCCUCCGGCGCAUCCAUCUCCGCUCCCCGGUUCUCUGCAGCAUGACACUGGAUGACUACGCGGAGGAGGUCGAGGAGCUCUUCGUUGUCGAUGCCCCGAAUCUCGAGUGUCUGAUGCUCGGUAAGAGCACGACGACGAGGACGCGCGUAAAAGUUGGAAAUGCACCGAAGCUGGAGCUGCUGGGCUUUGUUGAUAUGAGCAUCAGGAUGCUCGAGUUGGGAAGCACUUGUUUCCAGCAAAGUAUGCUUAGUAAAUUGAGUACUUUGGUGCAUAGUCUGAAAAAGCUAGCCGUUAGAGUGAACUUCAAUGACGAUCUUCAGGCACAUACACUUUUUGACCUGCUCAGAUGCUUCCCUUGCCUGGAAACAUUGGAUGUUUUGAUUGUUGACAUGGAUAACUAUGAUGAGCCGGAUUUGGAGGACUGGGAGCUGCAUGGUUCGUGUGAUUGUCUUGAUCAUCAUCUGAAAAGUGUGACAUUGAAGGGUUUCUUGGGACAGAGAACCGAUUUGGGAUUUGCUAACUUUCUCAUUGAAAAAGCGCGAGUGCUUAAGGUCAUGAUUCUUAUUUCUGUUUGUGCUUGGAAAGAGGGAUGGGUAGAGACCAAACAACAAGAUAUGUCGCUUCAGAAUAAAGCUUCUGUAAAUGCUGAAGUAGUUUUCGUGAAAGAAAAACAUGAGAAUAAUCGAUUUCAACCUUGGAGUUCACUAUUUUGAACUGUAGCAGCUCGGUUUGGAACGAGAUUUCAAGAUAUUUCAGAUCGUUUGGGCUUUGGUUUCCUUUUGGUCCGAGUUAUUAUAAGAUGGCUGGAAAAGCAGAAAUAACAUGAAGGAGUGAUCUGAAGAAAAAAACGCAUUUAUUGCUCAUAAUGGUGUCAAUAACCUAUUUUCUUAUCCAUCGAUGUGGCUAUGAGAUUUUGCUAUGGAAACCUUCGUGAAUAGGCAAUGUUCUCUGAGAAAUAUAGUUGGGAUUCCACUGCCAGGGUUCAGAAUCCAGGCCUCUUUCAAGUGGAGCGACAUCAACUAGCUUGUCCGCCCUAUGAAUGAACAAUGUUCAUACUGGCCCUCUCAUGAUCUAAUUCAUGUGGAGUGAUUUCUGUUUGCAGUCCUUCAUGGACAAACUGGAGGACCUGGCAGAAGUGCAUCAAGAGUGAAAUUAAGGACGCCCUCGGCAGCAAUCUCCAUCACCAUUUGGCAUUUGGGUGUUUGGAGAUUUCUGCAGAUGUUAAAUCCCAUACAUUUCCUAUAGGCUAUCGAUGCUGAAAGAUUGAGCUAGUUGCAGGAUGUCAAAAAAGCAGUUGGAACUUAGUAUGACAAAACUAGCACAAUUGAAAGUCAAUUAAUCCUGAUGAUUUUCUUCAGAAUGAGGCAAACAAGGUUGCCCCGGAGAACUUGAAAGCAAGUUUGCGAAGAUGUUGAAUGAGUUUGAUGAGGCUAACACUAACGUUGUAUGUUGUCCUAGUUGGGAAGACAAGAUUCUUGUUGUGGAUUGUGGUGUAAAGGAGCCCAGUGUUGCAAAUAUUAAGCUGUUUUGGUUCAGCUGGUUAUGCAAGCUAUGUGUUUAAGCUUGGUUAUCUUGAGCUAAGCUUCGACCCAGCGGAUCAUGCUUGGCUUGUGACGUAUGUGAACAAACUGAAUCUGCAGCUGAGCUGAGCUUGUUUGUGCUUCGCAAAUGGCCAAAUUUUCAAUUGCUGCUGCUUUAUUGGUCGACCUCAGGAGUGGAGUUUGAGCUAGGCUUCAUUAUUUAAACUAAAAUGAGCAUGUCUGUGAUCAGAUCUCGUCUUCGUUUUCAUUUUUAUAGCCCCAGUAGCCAAACAAGAUGAAGUUCUUGUAUUUUGUCAGAACACUGCUCCCCAUGUAUUUUGUAAAUGUAUCCUUCAAUUGUUCACCUUCUGAAUAUUUUGAGGGAUUUAAGGAAAUUGCGUGUUAAUGUAGAGAGACUGCUGAAACGCUCGUGCCCGUCAUGUGUAUAAAUGGAAGUGUGGGUUCUAAUUAUAUGCAUUUAAAUGAAAUUAUUAGCAUGAUA